AAAUGAACGUAUAAACUCAAGGUUUCCUCUAAACUUUUCUCUUUUUCAUCACGAUUUCUUGGAAUUCCCGGUCAAAAACCAGUGAAACUUACAGAGGCGUGUAAUGGCGGAGGUGGAAGAAAUAUCGAAUAUUGCGAUGGUCGUUGCUCAGUAUUGGCAGACUGUAUUUUUCAUACUAAUAAUUUUCACCACUUACAUAUCAUUAAGAAACAUCUGUCGCAUGAUAUUGAAAGCCUGAAGGCGCCAUUAAUCCUACCAAUGUCUAAAAAGUAAUUAUGAUGCAAGAUUGCCACGCGCAUGUAUGGAGUGGUGUACUUUUGGGCUGUGUGAUCUAUGUUCUUCUUGUGGGGAUCUUGGUUAUCAUAAACGAAGCAUUUUGCGAAUCAUUCUUCUUAAAGCAAAGGCGUUGUUUGGAUGGACGAGAUCCCCUUGAUGUUGAUUUGAAUGAAAGACAACCGGUAUAAGUGCUCGUGGUCCUUAAGUAACCCCAGUCCUAAAGACCAUAAGAUCCUAAUGGAUACCAGUGGUGUGGUCAAGCGCUCACAGAUGGCGCAACACGUUCUCUACAAAACGUUUGUCGCAACGUAAACAGGGGUACUACUCCGAAGAAUUUUCAACAAUAACUUGUCUCUAAAGAGAAUAAAAAAGCAUGAGGAUUCCUUAAAGUUAUAUUUUUAUGUGAAACACCUAAUUAAAGCAUUUUUAAUAAAUACAAAACCUCA